GAGGAGGGGGAGUAGGAGGAGGGGUAGGGGGAUGAGGAGGGGGAGUAGGUGAGGCAGAAGGAGGCGGCGGACGGGGAGUACGUAAAGCAGCCCGGAGUAGAGCACCUCUUUCUUCUCCUGGACCAUCUGAUGCAGUGCUUCGCCGAGCUCAGGAGGAGGAAACAGAGGAUGGGGAUGAGGCGAGUGAGGAGGAGGACGAGGAGGAUUUUGUGGAGGAGGUGGUGGAGGAGGAGGAGGAGGAGGUGGUGGAGGACGCCGCCGCCGAGAGGAGGCUGGUUGUUUGUCAGGUUUCUGAGUGUGGGGAUGGACCCUCACGGGUGACAGAGCACCAUGAGGUGAGCGGCUCACAACCGAGCGGUUUGACUAUCAGCACUACUUUAGAGGGAAAGCGUGGUUGCGUGGUCCUUCAAAGCUUCCAAGACGUCCAUAUGUGCAUAGAGACGUGUUGAUUAAACCAAUGGGAGAGAAGUAAGUGGUUAUCUCGACUCAUCUCGUAUAAAUUGUACCUUUUGUCAUUUCCUCAUAUAUAAUAUGACUUCACGCUUCGUAAUGCAGAAGCUUAGUAAAAGGUGGUGAGAGGCGUCUGCCACGGUAGCCGAGUGGCAUCAUUAGGGUCUUUGUAGGUUAAAUUAUCCUGGACUGGUCACUUUGCCGAACGGUAUCAUUGAGCCAUCUUGGUCAUGGGAUCACUACAAACUUGCACCGGAUUUCCUGGAUAUGCGUCAGAGGGUUUAUGAUAAUAGAGCCAUGCGAGUGGUCAACGAUUUCUGGGAUUUCUAUACAUGCGUUGAGGGUCAGAAGGAUCGUGCAAAUGUGAUGGUUGAGAAUAUUGCCAAGAAACUAGUCCACGACAUGCACUAUGAGGAGCGCGUCCGGUUAGUGGUCAAGUAUCACGCGGACUAUCUCAACCAGAAGAUUUCCAAACAGGAGGCUCGAGGGAAGCAUCUUUCAUGGGACAAUUACUUCAAAGAAGGUGAUUCCUCGGUGGUGCACUGACAAACGUCCGUGCUGGGAGAAUAUCGUCAAACGGUGGACAGAUCCAGGGUGGCAGGAUGAACACAAAGCAAUAUCUGAACGACGUAAGUUGAUGGGCUGUCGAGGACACCGUCAAGGCAAACUCACCAUCCUAGGUGUCGUCUCAAAACAUAAAGAAGACACUGGCAAUGAUAUCACUUACUUCGAUGCAUGGACCAUCAGACGUACCAAAAACGACAAGGACAAGGACCCUCUCCACCCGAAGAGGGACUGGAUCAGCUCUAAAGCCCGGUCAGAUGGAGAGAACUACACCGAAAAAUUGAAGGAGACGUACGGGCCUGACGCUGAUCCUCACGUGCUACCGUUUGACCCUCUUGUGGCCAUUGUCGCGGCAUGCGGUAGACCGAAUGGCCGGAUGGCGGUUCACCUUGAUUCUGUCAUAACCUUCUCCCUUCCGAGAGUCAACACGCUUCGUGCUAUGAGUAUUGGCUCUACUCCUACCGUAGAGCGUCACAUACCACAUUUCAUGAGCAUUAUUGAGGAU